AAUGUAAACAGAAAAUGUGUAAAUGUAUUGUAAAAUGACUUUAAGGGUUUAGAAAAUGACCUAAUAAAGUAUAAGUAUUGAUAUGUUAUUGAUAUUGCUAUUUUCUAAUGCCAGAGCUCUGCCAUAACCAAAGCUUUAGCAAAUAAUGAUGGCAAACAGGACACACCUGUAUGCAGUUCUUCUACCUGGACAGGAGAGGCAGCAGAGAGCAAAGAUACCGAACACAAACAGGAUCCCGGAAUAAUCAUGGGGAUGAUUCAAAAACUAAAUCCAUUCAGGUUUUCC